rnacentral:snRNA from 1 species
ACAUAUUCUAAAAUUGGAAAGAUACAGAAAUGAUUAGCAUGACCUCUGCUCAAGGAUGACAUACAAAUUCGUGAAGCAUUCCAUGUUUUU